rnacentral:rRNA from 1 species
AGUGAACGCUGGCGGUAGGCCUAACACAUGCAAGUCGAACGGCAGCACAGUAAGAGCUUGCUCUUACGGGUGGCGAGUGGCGGACGGGUGAGGAAUACAUCGGAAUCUACUUUUCGUGGGGGGUAACGUAGGGAAACUUACGCUAAUACCGCAUAAGACCUACGGGUGAAAGCAGGGGGUCGUAGGACCUUGGGCGGUUGAAUGGGCCGAUGUCGGAUUAGCUAGUUGGCGGGGUAAAGGCCCACCAAGGCGACGAUCCGUAGCUGGUCUGAGAGGAUGAUCAGCCACACUGGAACUGAGACACGGUCCAGACUCCUACGGGAGACAGCAGUGGGGAAUAUUGGACAAUGGGCGCAAGCCUGAUCCAGCCAUACCGCGUGGGUGAAGAAGGCCUUCGGGUUGUAAAGCCCUUUUGUUGGGAAAGAAAAGCAGCAGGUUAAUACCCCGCUGUUCUGACGGUACCCAAAGAAUAAGCACCGGCUAACUUCGUG